UGUGUGUGUGUGUGUGUGUGCGUGUGCGUGUGUGUUGUAAACACACACACACACACACACACACACACACACACACACACCACACACACA
rnacentral:tRNA from 10 species